rnacentral:rRNA from 1 species
UACUACUAUAAGACGAGAAGACCCCAUGGAGCUUUAAACCCAACUACACCCCUAUUUACAACAACUACUUAACCAAUUGGACACUGUAUGCUUGGUUUUAGGUUGGGGCGACCACGGAGUAAAAAAUAACCUCCACGAUAAAUGGGNUUACCCCCUUAUCUAAGAGCCACACCUCUAAGAAUUAAAAUAUUAAUAUAAUAUGAUCCUUUCUUGAUCAACGGACCAAGUUACCCUGGGGAUAACAGCGCAAUCCAUUUCAAGAGCCCCU